UGCACUGCUUUUCCCGGCUAUCUAGUGCAUACGAUGCAUCUAGUGCACUAUGGAGCGGAGUUUCCCAUUUUCCAAAUAUUAUGCAGUUUCCCAGAUUCAUUCGCGAUUUGUAAAUUAUAAAAUUUGGAAUAAUUAUUGAGUUAACGAGGUGGAGGAGAGGCAUUCGUGACGGCAAUGUAGGUCACAGAAAGUGCAAGCUAGCCAGCUGACUUUUCUGCAUUUCUUGUACAAUCAUUGAUACGCUCGUUUUCAUCUGAUGAUGUAGUCUACACUCUACACCACUUUCCCUCGAUGCGCAACAACUGGGCCAACAGAGAAGGUGAAACCUACCAAUCUCAGAGCUCCCACCCGCCGCCAUUACAGAUUGCAAUUUCACUAGUCACUAUCUCUAGUGAUUGUGAAUCACUUAUAAUCACUGCAGCAAGUAACCAGAUGAUUACAGAUCCUCUUCUGCCCAACUGCUCCACUGCUCCAUGGAAUGUGAAUUUUAUUGUAAUUCAAUUUUGUUGGGUUUUGUGAGAUUUGAUAGCAAAAAUGUCAAUUAAAAUUGAUUUUCCUUGUACAUUCAUUCUUAUAUCGACUCAAUCCCUGUCUGGCAAAAGGUGGUUUAGCUCAC
rnacentral:lncRNA from 1 species